rnacentral:rRNA from 1 species
AUCUUGAAAAUUAAAGAAAUUGGCGGUAUUUUAGUCUAUUCAGAGGAAUUUGUCCUAUAAUUGAUGGUCCACGAGCUAAAUUACUUAUUUUUAAGGUUUACAUAUCGCCGUAGUUUGAAUAUUUUUAUAGAAUUUUAAUAUUCAAGAUUUAUUUUAUAAAGGAAUUCAGGUCAAGAUGUAGCUAAUAAAUAAGAAGAGGUGAAUUACAAUAAAUUUAUUUAUUAAUGAAUUAAAGGUUAAAAUACUUUUAUGAAGGUGGAUUUGAGGGUAAUUUUAUUUAAGUAAAUAAGAUGAUUUUAGCUCUAAAAUAUGUACAUAUCGCCCGUCGCUUUCACUAUAAAGUGGAAUAAGUCGUAACAAAGUAGGCAUACUGGAAAGUGGGCCUAGAAAGACAAAUUAGAGCUUGGUAAAGCAUUUUAGUUACAUUAAAAAGUUUAUUGUAGAUUCAAUAUAAUUUGAUAUAAAAAUUAUUAUUUUUUAUAAAAGUAAAUUUUUAUUUAAAAUAAAAAAAUUUUUGUUUAAUUAUUUAUUUAGAAAAAAUUUUUAUUAUUAUAGAGUAUAAGUAUAGUGAUAGAAUUAAUAUAUAUUAUUAUAAGAAGAAUUAUAUUUUUGUACCUUGUGUAUCAGGGUUUAUUAAGUAAAAAUUAAGUAUUUAGUUUUCUCGAAUUAGUGAGAGUUAUAUUUAUAGAUAGAUUUUGUUGAAUAAAAAUUAUUAAUAUAUAUAUAGAAGUGAAAUAUUAUUCGAUCAUUAAUAUAUCUAGUUUUUUAAGAAAAAAAUUUAAUUUUUUUAUUAAUUAAUAUAAUUUUAAAUUUAUAGAGUUAUGUUGUUAAUAUUUUAUAUAUUAAGGGAUAAGCUUUAAUAUAAAUUAUUUUAAAAUUAAAUAGUCUUUUUAUUAAGUAGAAUUAAAAGUUUUUUUCUUUUAAAGUGUGUUGUAACUUAUAAUUAUUUAUUUAAAAUUUUUAUAGUUUUAAAGUUUUUUAUUAAAAUGAAUAUUUAAAUAAAAUAAAUUUUGUAAUAAUGAUAGAAUUAGUAAAAUUAUUAUGUAUAGUUAUAUUUUUUUUUUAGGUUAAAUAAAGGAAUUCGGCAAAUAUAUUUUCCACCUGUUUAUUAAAAACAUGGCCUUUUGAAUUUAAUUUAAGGUCUGACCUGCCCAAUGAAAUAUUAAAUGGCCGCGGUAUUUUGACCGUGCAAAGGUAGCAUAAUCAUUAGUUUUUUAAUUGAAAGCUGGUAUGAAAGGUUGAAUGAGAAAAUUACUGUCUCUGUUUAAAUUUUAUUGAAUUUUAUUUUUAAGUAAAAAAGCUUAAAUAAAAUUAGAAGACGAGAAGACCCUAUAGAGUUUUAUUUAUUCUUUAAAUAUAAUUUUUAGGAUUAAA